AACGAACGCUGGCGGCAGGCCUAACACAUGCAAGUCGAACGCCCUAGCAAUAGGGAGUGGCAGACGGGUGAGUAACACGUGGGAACCUUCCCUAUAGUACGGAAUAGCUCAGGGAAACUUGAAGUAAUACCGUAUACGCCCGAGAGGGGAAAGAUUUAUCGCUAUAGGAUGGGCCCGCGUCGGAUUAGCUAGUUGGUGAGGUAAUGGCUCACCAAGGCGACGAUCCGUAGCUGGUUUGAGAGAACGACCAGCCACACUGGGACUGAGACACGGCCCAGACUCCUACGGGAGGCAGCAGUGGGGAAUAUUGGACAAUGGGCGCAAGCCUGAUCCAGCCAUGCCGCGUGAGUGAUGAAGGCCUUAGGGUUGUAAAGCUCUUUUAGCAGGGAAGAUAAUGACUGUACCUGCAGAAUAAGCUCCGGCUAACUUCGUGCCAGCAGCCGCGUAU
rnacentral:rRNA from 1 species